AAAUAGUGCCAUUUUGAGAACACGGGGAACAACAAAAACAAAAAUGACUCUUUCAACCAAACAAGUUUUUGGUGUUUUUUGUUUUCAAGAACAGAAAACAGUUCUUGAAAACACUAAACAAACAGGCCUAUACUUUUCAACAUAGGUGUCGUUUUUGUCGCCAAACAGGUCCUAACUUCUAAGAAUUUGGCUUAGCAUCAAUGCGGAAAAUAAUUGGGUUUCGGUAUGUUUGGAGAGACACAGGGUCACCUUUUCAAGCAUGGAAAUUUCUUUGGGAUAAGGCGAUUUGAUUGGUGGGAUCCAAACACAUAUCCUUGGGAUUUGACCGCCCAAAAUUAAAUCACAAUUUUCACAUGCCUCAUCUCUUCUGAAUCUCUGAUUGGAUAUUUUUGGUUGAAAACCCUAACUAAACUAACCCUAAUCCUUCCAAAUUUCUGCAGAUAAAAAGAGAUUCUAAUUCUAUUUUCAUCUGGAAGUUGAAGGAUUUUCUGCCAUGGAAGUCAAGGGAGGAGAAAAAGAGAGUCAGACGGUGGACAGUACAAACAAGGGAAGCGACGGUUCCUCUGUUGGGAUUAAGUUUCUGUUCUUUGCAAGAGCUCGGGAUCUUACAGGUGGCCUCACUGAUAUGCCAAUGGAGGUGCCAUCGGGUAGCACAGCCCAUGACUGUCUAAAUAAGCUUGUUGCCAAAUUCCCGAGAUUGGAGGAGAUUCGUGGAUGCAUGGUCCUGGCAUUGAACGAGGAGUACACACCUGAGUCCACUGUUGUCAAGGACCGAGACGAAUUGGCCAUCAUACCUCCAAUAAGUGGAGGCUAAUUCUCUUCCCCACCAAAUCUUCCGAGCUGUCUAAAAUUCAUGCAAAGGGAAGUUUCCUUGUGCCUUGUUGUGCAAACCUGUCCAAAUAUUCAAAAACUUUCAUGAAUAAUCCUUGAGUUUCUCGUUAAGGGUAUCUCUUGAAAUCAUUUUACCUUCGAGAACUGAGCCAUUAAUGGAAAGAUUUGAUGAAGAAA